GUGGUGGUAGCUCAGCUGGAUAGAGCAUCGGUUUUCUAAACCGAUGGUCGCGAGUUCGAGUCUCGCCCACCACGCCA
rnacentral:tRNA from 1 species